rnacentral:rRNA from 1 species
UCCUACGGGAGGCAGCAGUGGGGAAUAUUGGACAAUGGACCAAAAGUCUGAUCCAGCAAUUCUGUGUGUUUGAUGAAGGCCUUCGGGUUGUAAAGAACUUUCAGUGGGGAAGAAGCAAGUGACGGUACCCACAGAAGAAGCGACGGCUAAAUACGUGCCAGCAGCCGCGGUAAUACGUAUGUCGCAAGCGUUAUCCGGAAUUAUUGGGCAUAAAGGGCGUCUAGGCGGUCUAAUAAGUCUGAUGUGAAAAUGCGGGGCUCAACUCCGUAUUGCGUUGGAAACUGUUAGACUAGAGUUUUGGAGAGGUAGGCGGAACUACAAGUGUAGAGGUGAAAUUCGUAGAGAUUUGUAGGAAUGCCGAUUGGGAAGCCAGCUCACUGGAUGAAUACUGACGCUGAAGCGCGAAAGCGUGGGGAGCAAACGGGAUUAGAUACCCCGGUAGUCCACGCCGUAAACGAUGAUCACUAAGUGUGGGGGGUCGAACCUCCGUGCUCAAGCUAACGCGAUAAGUGAUCCGCCUGGGGAGUACGCACGCAAGUGUGAAACUCAAAGG